UCUUCUUCAGCUUGAACCAGGCUUGGGGUGAGUGUUCAAGAAUUCAUGGAUAGAUUCACCACGGUGGAGCAGCAAGUGCCAGCAACUCCGUUUCUCCAGGAAAGUGUCUAGAGUAUUGAAAAGGGAAACUUGGAGAGGAAUCACAGGGAGAGGAGGUUUCAGGGACCAAGAGGCAACUGACAAAAGAAGGAAAACAAAGAUUGAAAGAUAGGGAAGAAAUAGAACACAUUGCAGGACAGAGGGGACACUCCACAAACUGUGGUUGGGAGUGCCUUGCCAGCCACCACCCAGGAGGCAAAACGAAACUAAAACUUUUUCACCCACAGAGAACCACACUGGGACUGAGUCAGUUAGUAGUUGGAACCUACAGUGAAAGCAGGGGAUUCUGCUUCUGGAGAGGCCUUCUGGUUCACAUUUGAUUGCCCUGAUAGAUACUCUGCAACUGACCAGCUUGCUCUUACUGUAGCUGACUUGAUUGCAUUGGCAUAUUCUGGACUCAGUGGACAAUUUCAUGUGAGUGAAUCUGUCUGCAAAUUUCACCAUCAAGGAGAGGGACAACACGAGUUUCUAACCCAAGAACUCUGCAAACAGGCGUGCAAUCUGGAAGAAAGAAGUGCUUCAGUGUUGCAAUGGAUGGACCAGAGGAGUUACUGCUGUGUGAGGAGUCAGAUUCUGGCCAAGAAGCUACAUGUGAAUCAUAUAUGCACUGAUUCACUGGAAUAUUUAACCUGUGUUCUUAUCAAAAAUUUUAUAGGUCUGAGUUUUUGUUUGUUUCUUAUUUUAUUUAGUAAUGUAUCAUUGUGUUAUGUUCUUUUAUGUUUUUUUUUUUUGUGUGUGUGUGUGUACCAGGUAUUUGAUUUUGUAUGUUUUUUCCACCAGACGCCCCUGGUGGGCCUUCUCAUCCUGCUACCGUUGUUUAGGGCCUCCCUCAUCUGCCUGGCUUUGUUCUUACAAAGGCAGAAGAUCUGAUGUGAGAGGGAUGCACUUUGAUGAGGUGUGGAUUUAAUUUCUGGCAGGUAAUAAUUCACUAACCACAGUGAGUUAAUUACUUACUAAGGAGUUGAUGAGCUCCACUACUGGAGAAUGCAUGUCAGAUUCAUCCAUAGGUCCAGUGAAAUGAGUCUUCUAUACCUCUGACACAAAUAUACAACAUAUAUUGCUUCACUUUUCUUAGCAGUCGCCUCCACUUCACUACCGCUUUUCCUCUUGCUUCUGGACCUCGUGGGCUCUGACUGACCCUGUACUGCAUAGUAUCCUGUCACACUGGACAGUAAGCACACAGCAGCACACCUGUGACAAUAUCCAGUGGUCUCGUGAGCUACUAGUGCAAUUUGUUUGUAUCUGAAAAUGCUUGUAAAGUGAGGUCCAUUCAUAUCUGGGAAAGUUUGCAACUCAAAUGUUCACACAUUGGGGAGUUACUAUAUUAAAUUGGGAGGAAUCAGGAUCUCCAUGAGAGGGGCAAUCUGAAGGAGACAACUUGAAGUGCGGAUGGGGUUCAGAAGUCCCUACCCUAAGCAACUGUUGACAGAACAAUUCCUCUCUCCAGACUUUUGCUUACAAACCUGCAAAUGUAGAACAGAAGUGACCUCCACAGGACUUACUCUUCUGAGUCUCUAGGAAAAAGGAAAGCAUAAAAACUAAUCUGUAAAAACUUUUACUGCUCCCUGGCCCCUUCCCAGAGUCCAGCUUUAACUGAAAGUGUCUACUCAUAGCUAACGGACUCUGUGUAUUUGAACUUCUCUGGCCCUUGGUGAUAGGCAUGGAGGUCUGCUGGAGGGACUGGAACUUGGGCCAGGGCAAUCUUCAAGGAUGAAACACUAGUUAUUUUGAAUAUCCAUGCAGUGAUUUUUUAUGGGUGAUGGAGGAUUGGUGCUAAGAACAGCUGGACAUGUAGGUUGCAAACAGCGCUAAUUUUGGACUUGUUUUGACAUAUUUCCAGGAUGUAGUCCGUGGUUUCCAGGAUAAACGGAGUCCUUAAGCAGCGAAUGCUACUUUCUAUAAUAUGUGUCUGUCUGAAUAUUUCUGAAGCACUGAGAAAAUCCUACCUAGAAUGGAGCAGGAGUCACAGUGGAAAACUUUGGUACUUUCUGUUGGAGCUAUCUACCCCACAGACCUAUUUCACUCGUAGGCAUUUAUCCAGGAGAAAUACAAAUGUAUAUCUACAAAAAAACUCAUAAGAUUGUUUAUAGCUUUUUCAUGAUAGUCAGAACCCAUAAAUAAACUAGCUAUCCAUCCUCAGGAGAAUGAUAAACCAUAGUAAAGUCAUGUAAUGGAAUAUUGCUUAGCAAUAAUUAAAAGAAAUAGCGUCUACCAA